GGUUAAGCGACUAAGCGUACACGGUGGAUGCCUAGGCAAUCAGAGGCGAUGAAGGACGUGCUAAUCUGCGAUAAGCGUCGGUAAGGUGAUAUGAACCGUUACAACCGACGAUUUCCGAAUGGGGAAACCCAGUGCAAUUCGUUGCACUAUCGUUUGAUGAAUACAUAGUCAAACGAAGCGAACCGGGGGAACUGAAACAUCUCAGUACCCCGAGGAAAAGAAAUCAACCGAGAUUCCCCUAGUAGCGGCGAGCGAACGGGGAGCAGCCCAGAGUCUUAAUCAGCAUUAGCAUCAGGAGAACGGUCUGGAAAGUCCGGCAGUAAAGGGUGAUAGCCCCGUAUCCGAAGGUGUUAGUGUUGUGAACUCGACGAGUAGGGCGGGACACGUGUUAUCCUGUCUGAAUAUGGGGGGACCAUCCUCCAAGGCUAAAUACUCCUGAUUGACCGAUAGUGAACCAGUACCGUGAGGGAAAGGCGAAAAGAACCCCGGCGAGGGGAGUGAAAUAGAACCUGAAACCGUGUACGUACAAGCAGUGGGAGCCUUGAUUUAUCAGGGUGACUGCGUACCUUUUGUAUAAUGGGUCAGCGACUUAUAUUCUGUAGCAAGGUUAACCGUAUAGGGGAGCCGUAGGGAAACCGAGUCUUAACUGGGCGAAUAAGUUGCAGGGUAUAGACCCGAAACCCGGUGAUCUAGCCAUGGGCAGGUUGAAGGUUGGGUAACACUAACUGGAGGACCGAACCGACUAAUGUUGAAAAAUUAGCGGAUGACUUGUGGCUGGGGGUGA
rnacentral:rRNA from 1 species